AAGCGAAGCGGUGACGUGGAGCAAACCUCAGAAAGCCAAUCUCAGUUCGGAUUGUAGGCUGCAACUCGCCUACAUGAAGUUGGAAUCGCUAGUAAUCGCGAAUCAGAAUGUCGCGGUGAAUACGUUCCCGGGUCUUGUACACACCGCCCGUCACACCACGAGAGUUUACAACACCCGAAGUCAGUGGCCUAACCGCAAGGAGGGAGCUGCCUAAGGUGGGGUAGAUGAUUGGGGUGAAGUCGUAACAAGGUACC
rnacentral:rRNA from 1 species